AUUGAACGCUGGCGGCAUGCCUUACACAUGCAAGUCGAACGGCAGCAUGAUCUAGCUUGCUCGAUUGAUGGCGAGUGGCGAACGGGUGAGUAAUACAUCGGAACGUGCCCUGUAGUGGGGGAUAACUAGUCGAAAGAUUAGCUAAUACCGCAUACGACCUGAGGGUGAAAGUGGGGGACCGCAAGGCCUCAUGCUAUAGGAGCGGCCGAUGUCUGAUUAGCUAGUUGGUGGGGUAAAGGCCCACCAAGGCGACGAUCAGUAGCUGGUCUGAGAGGACGAUCAGCCACACUGGGACUGAGACACGGCCCAGACUCCUACGGGAGGCAGCAGUGGGGAAUUUUGGACAAUGGGGGCAACCCUGAUCCAGCAAUGCCGCGUGUGUGAAGAAGGCCUUCGGGUUGUAAAGCACUUUUGUCCGGAAAGAAAUCGCACUUACUAAUAUUAGGUGUGGAUGACGGUACCGGAAGAAUAAGGACCGGCUAAUUACGUG
rnacentral:rRNA from 1 species